UCUAUGACGUCAUUACUACG
rnacentral:miRNA from 1 species